rnacentral:rRNA from 1 species
GGCUCAGGAUGAACGCUAGCGGCAGGCUUAAUACAUGCAAGUCGUGGGGCAGCAGGUUUGUAGCAAUACAGAUGCUGGCGACCGGCAAACGGGUGCGGAACACGUACAGAACCUUCCUUUGAGCGGGGAAUAGCCCAGAGAAAUUUGGAUUAAUACCCCAUAGUAUAAUGAAGUGGCAUCACUUUAUUAUUAAAGAUUUAUCACUCGAAGAUGGCUGUGCGGCUGAUUAGGUAGUUGGCGGGGUAAAGGCCCACCAAGCCUGCGAUCAGUAACUGGUGUGAGAGCACGACCAGUCACACGGGCACUGAGACACAGGCCCGACUCCUACGGGAGGCAGCAGUAAGGAAUAUUGGUCAAUGGAGGCAACUCUGAACCAGCCAUGCCGCGUGGAGGAUGAAGGUCCUCUGGAUUGUAAACUUCUUUAUAUGGGACGAAAAAGGCUUUUCUAAGUCGUCUGACGGUACCAUAUGAAUAAGCACCGGCUAACUCCGUG